AUAGAGACUCAGAGCUGCAUAUCAAUAAGCGGAGGAAAAGAAACUAACAAGGAUUCCCCUAGUAACGGCGAGUGAAGCGGGAAGAGCUCAAAUUUGAAAUCUUAAAGGGUUUCCCUUUACGAAUUGUAGUUUAAAGAAGUGUUUUCUGUUGGAGUUUCGGUAAAAGUUCUUUGGAAUAGGACAUCAUAGAGGGUGAGAAUCCCGUAUUUGACCGUUACUUUCCAGCUGUGUGAUACACUUUCAAAGAGUCGGAUUGUUUGGGAAUGCAGUCCAAGAUGGGUGGUAAAUUUCAUCUAAAGCUAAAUAUUGGCGAGAGACCGAUAGCGAACAAGUACCGUGAGGGAAAGAUGAAAAGAACUUUGAAAAGAGAGUUAAACAGUACGUGAAAUUGUCAAAAGGGAAGCGUUUGACACCAGUGUUGUUUAGUUGAAAAUCAGUUCAAUAGUUUUUGAUACUAAGUAGUAUUGACUUCAUCAGCUUGCUGCUUUCUUUCAUGAAACUUCUUGAAUGCACUUUUCAGUUAACAAGUCAACAUCAAUUUCUUUUGUUGUAAAAGGGUAAGAGGAAGGUGGCUUGCGCUUCGGCUCAAGUGUUUAUAGCCUUUUAUCUCUGCAAUCGGAGAGAUUGAGGUCUGCAGCGUAGAUCCUUCGGGGUUAGAUACAUUGGUGCUAAGCUAUAGCCUUGUAUAGACAACUUGUUGACUAUGCUCAGUCAUGUAGCUUACUCGCUGAUGCUAUUUUACCUACGCUUAGGAUGUUGAUAUGCAUGACUGAUA
rnacentral:rRNA from 1 species